UACGAAGGGGGCUAGCGUUGCUCGGAAUCACUGGGCGUAAAGCGCACGUAGGCGGAUUGCUAAGUCAGGGGUGAAAUCCUGGAGCUCAACUCCAGAACUGCCUUUGAUACUGGCGACCUUGAGUCCGGAGAGGUGAGUGGAACUGCGAGUGUAGAGGUGAAAUUCGUAGAUAUUCGCAAGAACACCAGUGGCGAAGGCGGCUCACUGGCCCGGUACUGACGCUGAGGUGCGAAAGCGUGGGGAGCAAACAGG
rnacentral:rRNA from 1 species